UACAGAGGGGCAAGCGUUGUCCGGACUUACUGGGUGUAAAGCGCAUGCAGGUGGCUGUGCAAGUAUGCUGUGAAAGCCCCGUGCUUAACACGGGGAGGCCAGUAUAGACUGCACGGCUCGGAGGACUGCAGAGGGUAGGGGAAUUGCUGGUGUAGUGGUGAAAUGCGUAGAGAUCAGCAGGAACACCAAGGCCGAAGGGACCUACCUGGGCAGUAUCUGACACUCAAGUGCGACAGCGUGGGGAGCGAACCGG
rnacentral:rRNA from 1 species